GACGAACGCUGGCGGCGUGCUUAACACAUGCAAGUCGAACGGUGAAGGGGAGCUUGCUCCCCGGAUCAGUGGCGAACGGGUGAGUAACACGUGGGCAACCUGCCCCAGACUUCGGGAUAACGCUUCGAAAGAGGUGCUAAUACCGGAUACGAACUCCUUGGGCAUCCUUGGGGUUGGAAAGUUUUUCGGUCUGGGAUGGGCCCGCGGCCUAUCAGCUUGUUGGUGAGGUAACGGCUCACCAAGGCGACGACGGGUAGCCGGCCUGAGAGGGCGACCGGCCACACUGGGACUGAGACACGGCCCAGACUCCUACGGGAGGCAGCAGCGGGGAAUAUUGCGCAAUGGGCGAAAGCCUGACGCAGCAACGCCGCGUGAGGGAUGACGGCCUUCGGGUUGUAAACCUCUUUCAGCAGGGAAGAAGCGAAAGUGACGGUACCUGCAGAAGAAGCACCGGCUAACUACGUGCCAGCAGCCGCCGUAAUAC
rnacentral:rRNA from 1 species